GACGAACGCUGGCGGCGUGCCUAACACAUGCAAGUCGAACGGAAAGGCCCUGCUUUUGUGCGGUGCUCGAGUGGCGAACGCGUGAGUAUCACGUGUGUAACCUGCCCUUGACUUUGGGAUAACUUCAGGAAACUGGGGCUAAUAUCGGAUAGGAGCUCAUGUAGCAUGGUGGGGGUUGGAAAGUUUCGGCGGUUGGGGAUGGACUCGCGGCUUAUCAGCUUGUUGGUGGGGUAGUGGCUUACCAAGGCUUUGACGGGUAGCCGGCCUGGGAGGGUGACCGGCCACAUUGGGACUGAGGGACGGCCCAGACGCCUACGGGAGGCAGCGGUGGGAAAUAUUGCACAAUGGGCGGAAGCCUGAUACAACGACGCCGCGUGCGGAAUGACGGCCUUCGGGUUGUAAACCGCUUUCGCCUGUGACGAAGCGGGAGUGACGGUAAUGGGUAAAGAAGCACCGGCUAACUACGUG
rnacentral:rRNA from 1 species